rnacentral:lncRNA from 1 species
CAUAUAUCUACACAUGAUCUUGCCUUUCUAUCAUCUUUUUGGGGGAGAUGAACCAUUAUGGAUAGUUGGGUUUUCUGAAUAGCUUUGAAUAUUCCAUUUUGCCCACUUUAUUAAAGGAUAUUCUAAAUAUAACUAACUCAGCCAUGUCUAUAUGAUGCGGAGGUGUGUUUCUGAGGAUUAAUUGUUGGAGUAUUGUCAGAGUGGUAACUUCAGGGUUGAUGCAUAUAAGGAGGUUUGGCAUGUACUGUUUAACCACCCUCAAGAACUUGAUUGCACAUUUCAGCCACUACAAACUAAUAAGCAGGUGAUAUUUUCCCUGCUUCAGGUGAGCACACUGGGGUGCAGAGAGGUUAUGUAACUUGCUUAAGAUCACACAGUUAUUAGGUAGUGAAUGUGGAAUUUGAACUUGCUUUGGUCAGACUUCAGUUCUUUUUCUUUCCAUUUUGCCACUUGCUACAUGCUGCCCUCUUGAUUGGCCCUUUCAUUGCUGUUGACUGUCAUUCUUCACUGCUAUCCGGUGUCUGCAGGACACAGCCCUUCUUUCUUGUAAAUCACUGCUUUGAAUCUAUAUUGAUUUGGGAAUGGAAUUGCCAGAUUAUAAGUGUCAGUGGCUCUGAGGGGCUUUGCUAUGACUAGAGAGAAUGGGCUUUAGCAUCUGCGUUGGAUGUUUCUGGGCCUAUUUCAUGCUUUUUGGCUAUGCGUAGGAGUUUCCAGAUGAAGGACAUGUUACAACGUUUUCUAUAGUUGAGAUCUGCACUCCCCUUGAGUUUGUUUUGGAACAAUUUGGGGAAAAUUCAAAAGAGUUUCUCUUGCACAGGUUGGUGGGAUAAUCCAGGGUCCUUUCAGUUAUUUUCAGAAGAAUAUGCCAUUCUCUUUGGGUAUGUUUAACUGUGCUUUAAACAUUACAUUUUUCUUUUUUAUUUAUUUAUUUAUUAUACUUUAAGUUUUAGGGUACAUGUGCACAACGUGCAGGUUAGUUACAUAUGUAUACAUGUGCAAUGUUGGUGUGCUGCAGCCAUCAGCUCGUCAUUUAACAUUAGGUAUAUCUCCUAAUGCUAUCCCUCCCCGCUCCCCCCACCCCACAACAGGCCCCGGUGUGUGAUGUUCCCCUUCCUGUGUCCAUGUGUUCUCAUUGUUCAGUUCCCACCUAUGAGUGAGAACAUGCGGUGUUUGGUUUUUUGUCCUUG